GAGAGCAUAGCUCAAGUGGUAGAUAGAGCAUGUGCUUAGUAUGCAGAAGGUCUUGGGUUCAAUCCCCAGUACCUCCA
rnacentral:tRNA from 1 species